rnacentral:rRNA from 1 species
UGACUGACUGAAGAGUUUGAUCCUGGCUCAGGACGAACGCUGGCGGCGUGCUUAACACAUGCAAGUCGAACGGGGUGUUUAUUUCGGUAAACACCAAGUGGCGAACGGGUGAGUAACGCGUAAGCAAUCUACCUUCAAGAUGGGGACAACACUUCGAAAGGGGUGCUAAUACCGAAUGAAUGAGAGAUGACCGCAUGGAUAUUUCUCUAAAGGAGGCCUANUCAACGCUUCCGCUUGAAGAUGAGCUUGCGUCUGAUUAGCUAGUUGGUGAGGGUAAAGGCCCACC